rnacentral:tRNA from 1 species
GCGCCCUUCGUCUAGCGGUUAGGACGCCGCCCUUUCACGGCGGUAACACGGGUUCGAGUCCCGUAGGGCGUGCCA